rnacentral:tRNA from 2 species
AGGGUUGUCCAGGAUUGUCUAUGAUUUUGGACUUUUAAUCCGUUGGUCACAAGUUCGAAUCUUGUACGUCCUACCA